UACGAAGGGGGCUAGCGUUGCUCGGAAUCACUGGGCGUAAAGGGCGCGUAGGCGGACUCUUAAGUCGGGGGUGAAAGCCCAGGGCUCAACCCUGGAAUUGGCCUUCGAUACUGAGAGUCUUGAGUUCGGAAGAGGUUGGUGGAACUGCGAAGUGUAAAGGUGAAAUUCGUAGAUAUUCGCAAGAACACCAGUGGCGAAGGCGGCCAACUGGUCCGAUACUGACGCUGAGGCGCGAAAGCGUGGGGAGCAAACGGG
rnacentral:rRNA from 1 species